rnacentral:tRNA from 1 species
GAGGCUAUAUCUCAGUGGUAGAGUGCAUGCCUAGCAUGCAUGAGGUCCUGGGUUCAAUCCCUAGUACCUCCA